rnacentral:rRNA from 1 species
CCUACGGGAGGCAGCAGUAGGGAAUCUUGCGCAAUGGGCGAAAGCCUGACGCAGCCAUGCCGCGUGAAUGAUGAAGGUCUUAGGAUUGUAAAAUUCUUUCACCGGGGACGAUAAUGACGGUACCCGGAGAAGAAGCCCCGGCUAACUUCGUGCCAGCAGCCGCGGUAAUACGAAGGGGGCUAGCGUUGCUCGGAAUUACUGGGCGUAAAGGGAGCGUAGGCGGAUAGUUUAGUCAGAGGUGAAAGCCCAGGGCUCAACCUUGGAACUGCCUUUGAUACUGGCUAUCUUGAGUACGGGAGAGGUGAGUGGAACUCCGAGUGUAGAGGUGAAAUUCGUAGAUAUUCGGAAGAACACCAGUGGCGAAGGCGACUCACUGGCCCGUUACUGACGCUGAGGCUCGAAAGCGUGGGGAGCAAACAGGAUUAGAUACCCUGGUAGUCCACGCUGUAAACGAUGAGUGCUAGUUGUCGGCAUGCAUGCAUGUCGGUGACGCGAGCUACGACAUAAGUCACUCCGCCGUCGGGGAGGUACGGUCGCGAAGAAGUUAAAACGUUAAAAGGUAAAGUUAGUUACGGUCGUUGAGACGUUGCCGACGGACGACGACGAGGGAGGAGG